UACCAUGCAGUCGAACGGUGACCUGGGGAGCUUGCUCCCUGGUGAUCAGUGGCGAACGGGUGAGUAACACGUGAGUAACCUGCCCCAGACUCUGGGAUAACUUCGGGAAACCGGAGCUAAUACCGGAUAUGACACGGAGAUGCAUGUCUACCGUGUGGAAAGUUUUUCGGUCUGGGAUGGGCUCGCGGCCUAUCAGCUUGUUGGUGAGGUAACGGCUCACCAAGGCGACGACGGGUAGCCGGCCUGAGAGGGCGACCGGCCACACUGGGACUGAGACACGGCCCAGACUCCUACGGGAGGCAGCAGUGGGGAAUAUUGCACAAUGGGCGAAAGCCUGAUGCAGCGACGCCGCGUGAGGGAUGACGGCCUUUGGGUUGUAAACCUCUUUCAGCAGGGAAGAAGCGCAAGUGACGGUACCUGCAGAAGAAGCACCGGCUAACUACGUGCCAGCAGCCGCGGUAAUACGUAGGGUGCGAGCGUUGUCCGGAAUUAUUGGGCGUAAAGAGCUUGUAGGCGGUCUGUCGCGUCUGCUGUGAAAAUCCGGGGCUCAACCCCGGACUUGCAGUGGGUACGGGCAGACUAGAGUGUGGUAGGGGAGACUGGAAUUCCUGGUGUAGCGGUGAAAUGCGCAGAUAUCAGGAGGAACACCGAUGGCGAAGGCAGGUCUCUGGGCCAUAACUGACGCUGAGAAGCGAAAGCAUGGGGAGCGAACAGGAUUAGAUACCCUGGUAGUCCAUGCCGUAAACGUUGGGAACUAGGUGUGGGUCUCAUUCCACGAGAUCCGUGCCGCAGCUAACGCAUUAAGUUCCCCGCCUGGGGAGUACGGCCGCAAGGCUAAAACUCAAAGGAAUUGACGGGGGCCCGCACAAGCGGCGG
rnacentral:rRNA from 1 species